rnacentral:rRNA from 1 species
UACGAAGGGUGCUAGCGUUGUUCGGAAUCACUGGGCGUAAAGCGCGCGUAGGCGGUUUUUCAAGUCAGGGGUGAAAUCCUUGGGCUCAACCCAAGAAUUGCCUUUGAAAUUGAAAGACUGGAGUAUUGGAGGGGAUAGCGGAAUUCCUAAUGUAGAGGUGAAAUUCGUAGAUAUCAAGAGGAACACCAGUGGCGAAGGCGAGUCCCUGGACAACACCUGACACUGAGGCACGAAAGCUAGGGGAGCAAACAGG